CAAAAGAGAAAAUGCAGCACUCAGACAAUCUCUCGCCAUGAUUGAAGAUAUGGCUGGUGAGAGAGGAAAAACUGUUUCUAAUGGUGGAACUGGCAGAGGGUGUUAAAUUCCAGGUGAACCAUAUCACUCGACUGAGCAAGGAACCAUCAAAGUGCAUUUCUGAGCUCAUGACAGCUCUGUUUCUCAGAGAGGUGAUGGCCGUCUCUUCGUUGACAGGAAAACAUUUGAUUGCAUUCUGGGACCAGGAGGCACAGAAAAAAGCUUUGCCCAACCAAAGUGCCAUUUGCACCUUUUAUUUAGGCGAAACCAGAUGGAGGAGAAGGAUGUCUUUAAAAUAAUUGAACUGAAG